GACCUCAGAUCGGGUGGGACCACCCGCUCAGUUUAAGCAUAUUACUAAGCGGAGGAAAAGAAACUAACAAGGAUUCCCCCAGUAGCUGCGAGCGAACAGGGAAGAGCCCAGCACCGAAUCCCGCGGGCCACGCCCGCAGGGAAAUGUGGUGUUAGGGAGGACCCGCGUAACCGGGGCCUCGGCGGAGCGUCCAAGUCCAUCUUGAACGGGGCCACCGCCCGCAGAGGGUGCCAGGCCCGUGGCGGCCUCCGCCGGUCCCGGGUGGGUCUCUCCUCAGAGUCGGGUUGCUUGAGAGUGCAGCCCUAAGAGGGUGGUAAACUCCAUCUAAGGCUAAAUACGACCACGAGACCGAUAGCGAACAAGUACCGUGAGGGAAAGUUGAAAAGAACUUUGAAGAGAGAGUUCAAUAGUACGUGAAACCGUUCAGGGGUAAACGGAAGAGACCCGAAAUUACGUCGGGGGAGAUUCACGCCUUCCCGCGCGCCCGGGCCCCCGCUUGGCGGGACGGAGCCCUCGGCCCGCGCCGGUCCGCCGGCUCGGUGUCCGGGGGCGCCCGCCCGGUCCCGGCGGGGGCGAUCCGGCGGCGGAGGGCCGCACUUCUCCCCCGCUCGAACGUCGCGACCCGUCGGGCGACGGUCUACGGCCCCGGAGGAAGUCCGGCGGUCGCCCGGGCCUCGGCCCGCGGCGCACCGUACGGGCCCCGGGAGUCCCGGCCUGAACGCCAGACGGUAUCGAACGCGCGGUGCCGGCGCGCCGGACCCUCCGUGAAGGGGGCGUCCGGUCCCGGAGCGAGCGCGGCCGGCCGUGACGGGGCGGCGGACCGCCGGUCCGCCCCUCGGGCCGUCCCGCUGUCGGCGUCCGGGCACCUCGGACGGCGCGGCACCGGUCUGCGACGCUUCAGCUUCGGGUACUCGUCCGGCCCGUCUUGAAACACGGACCAAGGAGUCUAACAUGUGCGCGAGUCAUUGGGUCGUUUGCUAAACCCAAAGGCGCAGUGAAAUCGAAGGCCGGGCCCCCAGCGCCCGGCCCGAUCUCUCUCUCGAGAGAGUUGAGGGAGGAUGGGCGCUUUACGCCCGCUUGCUGGGCGGCGCUCCGCACUCCCGGGGCGUCUCGUUCUCAUAGCGAGGCGAGGCGCACCAAGAGCGUACACGUUGGGACCCGAAAGAUGGUGAACUAUGCCCGGCCAGGACGAAGCCAGGGGAAACCCUGGUGGAGGUCCGUAGCGAUUCUGACGUGCAAAUCGAUCGUCUAAGCUGGGUAUAGGGGCGAAAGACUAAUCGAACCAUCUAGUAGCUGGUUCCCUCCGAAGUUUCCCUCAGGAUAGCUGGUGCUCGGAGGAACGAGUCUCAUGCGGUAAAGCGAAUGAUUAGAGGCAUUGGGGCCGAAACGGCCUCAACCUAUUCUCAAACUUUAAAUGGGUGAGAUCUCCGGCGUGCUCGAACGCUGUGUUUCUUGAAGCCGGAGCAUCGGAUCCAUGAGCAUCAAGUGGGCCAAUUUUGGUAAGCAGAACUGGCGCUGUGGGAUGAACCAAACGCCGGGUUAAGGCGCCCGAACGACGCUCAUGGGAGACCAUGAAAGGCGUUGGUUGCUUAAGACAGCAGGACGGUGGCCAUGGAAGUCGGAAUCCGCUAAGGAGUGUGUAACAACUCACCUGCCGAAGCAACUAGCCCUGAAAAUGGAUGGCGCUGUAGCGUCGUGCCUAUACCCGGCCGUCGACGGCACAGAGGCCGGACGACCGUUCGCGCGGGCGUCCGGGCCCUUACGCCUCGACGAGUAGGAGGGCGCGGCGGUGUGCGCAGAAGGGUCCGGCCGCGAGGCCGCCUGGAGCCGCCGCCGGCGCAGAUCUUGGUGGUAGUAGCAAUUACUCCAGCGAGGCCCUGGAGGACUGACGUGGAGAAGGGUUUCUUGUGAACAGCUGUUGCACAAGAGUCAGUCGAUCCUAAGCCCUAGGAGACAUCCGAUGUCGAUGGGCCGCCGUUAACGUCCGCUACGCGGUCGGCGAAGGCGCCCCCCGGGCGAAAGGGAAUCCGGUUCCUAUUCCGGAACCCGGCAGCGGAACCGUUCACAUGCGGGCCCUCGCACGAGAGCUCGUCGGGGUAACCCAAACGAACCCGGAGAAGCCGACGGGAGGUCCGGAGAGAGUUUUCUUUUCUCUAUAAGCGUUCGGGAACCCUGGAAUCCUCUAAGAGGGAGAUAGGGUUUGGAACGCGAAGAGCACCGCAGUUGCAGCGGUGUCCGGAUCUUCCCCUCGGACCUUGAAAAUCCGGGGGAGGGCUACGCGGACAGUCCGCGCCGGAUCGUACCCAUAUCCGCAGCAGGUCUCCAAGGUAAAGAGCCUCUAGUCGAUAGAAUAAUGUAGGUAAGGGAAGUCGGCAAGCCGGAUCCGUACCUUCGGAAGAAGGGUUGGCUCUGAGGAU
rnacentral:rRNA from 1 species